UGCUGUUCUUGGUGGCCAUUUCAUAG
rnacentral:misc_RNA from 1 species